rnacentral:lncRNA from 1 species
UUUUUUUUCUUCUUCCCAUGUCAUAUUUAUACAUGAUGCCACUAGGUUUGAUAUGGUUGUUGGUUUAUUUUGAGUGGUUGUAGGAAAAGGAUAUAUUUAAAUUGGUUUGAGAUAUGGUUGUAGGUUUGUUUUGAGUGGUUAUAGGAUAAGGAUAUAUUUAAAUUGGUUUGUUGAGAUAUAGUUGUAGAUUUAUUUUGAGUGGUUAUAGAAUAAAGAUGUAUUUGAAUUGGUUUGUUGGGAUAUGGUUAUAGGUUUGAUUUGAUUUAGGAUAACCUAGCCAUCCGAUCUCAAUAAAUUAAACUAGGAUAGAACACACUCAAAAUAAAAUAAAAUAAAAGUAGUGACUCAAUGCACUGCAUCAGUUCUCCUCGGAUGGAAGAAUUCUUGACCCCGUCGAGAGAGCCUCCAUAUAGCUGUGAAAUAGGUCCUCCCGAAGUCGAUGUAGCUCGAUCUCAGAAAUCCAGCUGCUAUUAGUAAUUGGACGUCCACGCCAUCAUACUAAGUACCAGCGGUGUGAAUCCUGGCGUGUCCCUGUCUCAUGUACAUCCAAAAUCUCUUCUAUACCUUCUGAUGUGAUCUCUGCAGCUGUAUAGAAGGAUAAGGUCUCGACGUCGGUAGAAAGGGAUGACUCACCAUGAUAUUGGAACAAGUCACUCACAUUGAAAAUUGGAGUAGGCAAUCCUGGGGGCAAGUCAAUGAGAUUGGCGUUCUUCCCCAGCUUCUUGAGGAUCUUGAAUGGCUCAAAUUUCUUCCUGCUUAACUUGUUGUAACCUCCAGCUGAAAAUCGCUCCUUCCUGAAAUAGAUCAGAACACUAUUCCCCUCAUUAAAAUCCAUAUCCCGACGGUGUUGGUCUGCGGCCGCCUUGUAUUUGGUUGUGGAAUCCUACAGCUUUUUGUGAACUUGUUGUUGCACGUCUUGAAUCUGUUUCAAGUAGAUUUCAGCAUUUGCACUAACUCUACCAGGAUAUAGAAUAGGUACUCGAUCAAGAAAAUGGGGAAUAGGAUGGCCAUAGGGGGCUUCAAAUGAGGAUUUUCCUAUGGUUCUAUUGAUGGAACUAUAUAUGCAAACUCAGCUUGCGAUAAAAUUAAGUCCCAUUGUGUCGAUCUCUCACCUGCCAAGCAUCUUAAAAGAUUGCCCAAAGAUCGAUUUACCACCUCAGUUUGUCCGUCAGUUUGAGGAUGGUAUGGACUGCUAAAAUUUAAUUUACUUCCAACUUUGGCCAUUAGAGUUCUCUAAAAAUAACUCAUAAAUUUGAUAUCUCUAUCAGAUGUGAUGGAUCUAGAAAUGCCAUGCAGAUGCACAAUUUCAUUGAAAAAUAGUUUUGCAAUAUGCGAUGCAUCAGAGGUCUUUUUGCAAGGAAUGAAAUAAGCCAUUUUAGUGAAUCAAUCAACCACAAAUAUUAAGUCAACAUGUCAUGCAAUUUUGGAUAGACCUAGAAUAAAGUCCAUAGAAAUAUCUUCCCAAGGGGUGAAAGGAAUGGGGAGAGGAGUAUAUAAACCUGUGUUUUUUGAGUGACCCUUAAAGGUUUGGCAAGUUCUACAGCGUCGUACAAAUCGCUCUACAUCUCUUUGCAUAUUCGGCCAACAGUAGCGCUCUUGAACUAACCCCAAGGUCUUAUCCCGCCCGAAAUGUCCCCUUAAUCCGCUACUGUGUAGGUCUUGAAUCAAAGACUCUCUUAGUGAACCUUCGGGAAUGCAUAACUUGGACUGUUUAAAAAGAUAUUCAAACUCAAUGCAGAAAUCAAAUUGGCCAAUGCUAGAAGACAAACAUUUUUCUAUGAUAGGUCCGAAGUAAGGGUUGUCCUUGUACUGUUCCUUAAUCACCUCAAGACCCACAAUUUGCAAGAAGGCAGCGACGAGGUGGGUCCUACGGCUAAGUGCAUCAGCAAUCUGAUUGGUUACUCCUUUUUUGUCUCAAAUGGAAGACGUAUUCUUACAUAAAUACAGUCCACUUGGCGUGUCUUUUGUUAAGAUUCUUUUGGGAAUUCAAAUAACGUAAUGCUUCAUGGUCCGAGUUAAGUACAAAUUCCCGAUGAAUUAGAUAGAAUCGCCAGUGCUUCAAGGCCUGCACAAUCGCAUAGAAUUCGACAUCGUAUGUAGAAUAACAUGAUCGAGCAUCGUUCAAUAUCUCAUUGAAGAAGGCUAUGGGACAUUUUUUUGGGACAAUAUGGCCCCUAUUCCCACAUGUGAGGCAUCACAAUCAACUUUGAACACCUUAUUAAAAUUAGGUAGGGCGAGUAUCGGUGUGCUUGUAAGCUUGUCUUUGACCACUUUGAAGCUUUGUUCAGCUUCGGGAGUCCAGCGAAACUUUCCUCCUUUCAGACAGUCAAUGAUUGGGGUAAUCAAAGAACUGAAAUUUCGAAUGAAGCAUCGGUAAAAGGAUGCAAGUCCGUGAAAGCUCCGAAUCUCCGUUAAAUUUUUCGAGGUUGGCCAAUUUCGAAUCACGUCAAUCUUAGCCGGAUCUACCUUAAUUUCCUCAGCAGAUACAAUAUAGCCUAGAAAGAUGAGGUUGUCGGAUAAAAAGAUGCACUUCUUGAUAUUUAAAUAUAAAUAAUUCUCUCAAAGCUUGGAGCACCUGUCGUAGAUGGUUCAAAUGAAGUUCAAGGUUGGUACUGUAUAGCAAAAUAUCGUCAAAGUAAACCACUACAAAUUUUCCAAUGAACGGCUCCAACACCUGAUUCAUGGUGCGCAUAAAGGUGCUCGGGGCGUUGGACAACCCGAAAGGCAUAACCAGCCAUUCAUAUAACCCCUCAGUUUUGAAUGCUGUUUUCCACUCUGUCUCCAGGUCGGAUACGGAUCUGAUGAUAUCCGCUCUUCAGAUCAAUUUUGGAGAAUACCUUUGCACCUCCCAGCAUAUCUAGCAUGUCAUCAAGCCUAGGUAUGGAAAAUCUAUACUUUAUAGUGAUCUUGUUGAUGGCUCGACUGUCAACGCACAUUUGCCAUGUCCCAUCUUUUUUUGGAGUAAGGAGAGCAGGCACAGUCAAGGGACUCAUACUCUCUCGAAUGUAGCCCUUUCUUCACAAGUCAAGGACCUGUUGACGCAAUUCUUCAUGUUUUACUGGGCUCAUCCUAUAAUGGGCUAGGUGUGAGAGACUUGUUUCCGGCAUCAAGUCAAUGCAAUGCUGGAUGUCUCUCAAAGGGGGUAGGCCAUCAGGGAGUUCUUCUGGCAUGAUGUUAGAAAACUCGUCCAAUAAUGGUUGAACAACCGACGAAAUUCCAGAGGCUUUGAUGGUUUCUUUUGCCACUAAAGCAUAAACCACAGGAGACCUUGGUAUGGUUUUGGCAAAUUGGAUCUUAUUCAAAAUUAUAAUAGAUUCUCUCGUUGGGUGACAAUUUUGGGGUUGAAUCAGGCUUAGGUAUCGAUUUGGGUGUACUAUUAAGUGGAAUCAAUCUAAUCUUUUUAUUGUCCUUAGUGACUACAUAAGUGUUUUCCUUCCUGUCAUGUAUGGUGCUACGGUCAAAUUGCCAAGGUCUACCUAAAAGCAGGUGACACACAUCCAUAGAUGCUACAUUGCACCAAACCUCGUCAGUAUAAGUCUUUCCAAUGAAAAAUUUAACUAGACAUCAUCGCGUGACAGAAACUUCAUCCUCAUUUUUAAACCAAACAAUCCGAUAAGGUUGUGCAAGCUUCUCAGUUUUUAGUUGAAGCUUAUCAACCAUCUCUUGAGAGAUGAAAUUCUCCAUACUUCUACUAUCAAUUAUAAUAGAGCAGAAUUUUUCCCCCGCAUUGCAGAUAGUUCGAAAAAGACUGCGUCGUCUCCAAUCAUCUUUGGUAGAUUUAGGUGCUACAAGGACUCGAUUGAUUACAAGAUUUGGUUCAGUAGUUUCGACAAUCUCAUCUAGGAUCUCACUAUCCUCAACAGUGUCUUCCUCUUGCACUUCUACUCCAUCCUGAUCACUCUCAUUAGCAUUUUCUAUCAAGUUGGAUCUAGGCUAAAAUUGUCUUAAAGAGCAUUCAGAUGAUUUAUGACCUGGUUGCCUACACUUGUAACAAGUGAUACUGGUUUUCGAGGGUUUGGAACCUAAAAUUCUCUUGCCUUUGGUAUCACCAAUAAGUUUUGGAGGGAGUUGGAUAUCAUUUUUCAGGGUUGAUUUGGUUCCUAUUGAAAAUUUUCCACUAGUGUUACCCUAUCGGAAUUUCUGUCUCUUCAAUUUAGACUCAGCCUUAAGUGCGUGACUAUAGGCGGCAUCUAUUCGCUGAAAAUUGCAAAAAAUCAAUUUAUCCUGAAUUUGAGGGCGAAGUCCAGCAAGAUAGCGAGCUAUCCGUUGUUCUUCAUCCUCCCUAAGGUCAUUACGGGUCUGAAGGUUAUAGAAUUCCUCAGUGUACUCUUGCACCAUUUUAGACCCUUGCCUAAGGUUGUGAAGCUUUUGAAAUAAAGUUUGUCGGUAAUCGACUGGAAGGAAUUUACUCCUAAGCUUCUCUUUCAUUUGUUCCCAAGUGGCAAUCUUCUCUUUACCCUUUCAAAUCCUAUCGUUUUGUACCUGCUUCUACCAAACUAAGGCAUGGCCUUUCAACUUAAGGGUGACAAAUUUGACUCUUUUAUCCUCAGGUAGUUCUUUCCAUUCAAAAAAUUAUUUUAUCUUGUCAAUCCAAUCCAACAACUCAACAAGUUCUAACCUACCUUCGAACUCACCGACAUCUACUUUGAUACCCUGAUCCCAUCGUGCAAUGUUCAUUUGACGUUGGUUCGGACGGUUUCUCCUAAAAGGACGGUUGGCUUCUAUCUCAAGGUCACUCUCUGAUUCAAUUAAUCUCCCUCCAUCGAGCUGAUAUUGGGUAUUCAAAGCCUCUAACAUUUGUUGUAUUUGGUUUAGUUGGAUUUGCAUGUUUCUAAUGGACUCUUGUUGUCGUUCAUAGGCCUCUCUCCAAUCCUAGGGUUUUCGGGGUGGUUGUUUGCCAUUCUAAUGUACUAACGGCUCUGUGAUGGGGAGAUGGGAUUUUAAGAAGUCGUGGACAGCAAACAAGGGUGCCAAUUAGAGGGUUCUAAUUUCGAAACAGCAAUAGAGUUUUUUUAUGAAUUUUCUAGAUAGCAAACAAAGGCUUACAAGAAAAUAAAUUUUAACCGCAAAUAUGCAAUGAUGAUUGAAUAAGAUGCAACCUAAUAAAAGCUAAAUGUAAGCUAAAAUCAAUCCCUAAGGUCAAAACUUGCUCUGAUACCACUUGAUGCAUUUAAAGAUACACUGAUAUAGUACUGAAGCGUGCUACUGUAGCAAUACAGCAUAGAAGAGGAAAGAAGAAAAGAAAAAAAAGAAUGAAUGCAAUAUGUUGUAAAUCUAAAUACUAUGCGAUCUAUUCAAAUGAACUCUUAAAGGUUAAUGCUGGAACUAUAGAAAUCAGCAAUAUGUUCAAAAUUUAUUAAAUAAAAAUGAUGAAAGUUCCAUGACUGAGACAAACUUCCCAAGAUCAAUUACAUAUACUAGUUCCAACAUAAAACACUAAGAAAUAGAUUCAUUCCAGGCUUAAAACUGAGUUCAGAUGGCUAGAUUUUAAUGAUAGGAUGAGAGGCAGCAUGAGGUAAGGUUAUAGGUGGACCUGUUACCUUGGAUGCGGGAAUAUAUUGAAAAGGUUCAAGUCUCAACCUGUUCACGGGAUGCAGAGUAUCCACAACCACCAAAGGAGAGCAGCACCGCGAUGAUAGGCUUCAAGAUGGGGAAGAGGAAGCCAGAGUCAAAGAAGGAAAGAAGCCAAAGAUGGAUCCAUCAGCGAGAAAGAGGCGACGACGAUCCCAAGAGGAGGAGGGAUUCAAGAUAGAACCAUAGAUUAAACCUUCCAAAAUUUUCUUCUCCCUUUUUUUCUUCUUCCCAUGUCAUAUUUAUACAUGACGCCACUAGGUUUGAUAUGGUUGUUGGUUUAUUUUGAGUGGUUGUAGGAUAAGGAUAUAUUUGAAUUGGUUUGAGAUAUGGUUGUAGGUUUGUUUUGAGUGAUUGUAGGAUAAGGGUAUAUUUAAAUUGGUUUGUUGAGAUAUAGUUAUAGGUUUGUUUUGAGUGGUUGUAGGAUAAAGAUGUAUUUGAAUUGGUUUGUUAAAAUAUGGUUGUAGGUUUGAUUUGAUUUAGGAUAACCUAGUCAUCUGAUCUCAAUAAAUUAAACUAGGGUAGAACACACUCAAAAUAAAAUAAAAUAAAAUAAAAGUAGUGACUCGAUGCACUGCAUCA